rnacentral:lncRNA from 1 species
CGCUGCAGAUGGCCGCAGCAAAAGGCCGCUGUUAGCAUCCAGCUGGAUUUUGACAUGUACGGAGGCCGCUGCAAAGGGCAGCUGUGAACAUCCAGCUGGCUAGGGAACAUGUACAUAUGCCGCUGGAAAAGACAGUUGUGGUUGUUGGCACGGCUUGCGGAUGACUUUUGCUUGCAUCAGUUACACGGCACUGCUGCGUCUUCCCGAUUCAGAAUCCACAUAUUUUCAUCGUCAUGGAGUUUUUGUCACCAUGCCGUUGCACCAUGCCACUAUGACACUUAGGCUCCAAUUCGUUUCAUGACCAAAAUCACUCUUUUUGCCUUAAAUCAGCUUUAUAUGCUCCAAGUUCACCAAGUUGCAUUUUUACCAUCUAAUAGGGACAUAUGCAUGAAAAUUCAACCUAUUGUUCUCUAAAUGCUAAUAUAAAUGAUCAAUAUGCAUACUAAAUGGAUGAAUAAAUCAAUAAAAACACAAGAUGUCAGUAACCACCAAGUAUCCGUUUGAAAAGUGUAAAUAACCCUCUGACCAUAGUCGGGGUGUUGUAGGCACA